AAGGGGACUAAUUCUACUAGUUGAGAAACUCAACUCAACCUGCACGAACAUGGGUGGCUUCUUGAACCAGAUACGAAAGACAGAAUUUUCCAAUUUUCUCUAUCUAAUCCUGGUGGUAUAGCAGUAAUUUCUGAGAUGUACACCUGGCCAUGGACAUUUUUCUUCCUAUAAAUCCUCUUCUCGAGCUUCUCACUCAUCAUCAUCAAUCUCUUUGUUGAUCUCUGUCUGCACAAAUUAUCACCUCAAAGUUUCAGAAAUGGCAUCAAAGAGCAAGACUCUGAUCAUCGGAGGAACUGGGUACAUCGGAAAACACAUAGUGGAAGCCAGCGCAAAGUCUGGUCAUCCAACUUUUGCUCUUGUGAGAGAGUCCACUCUCUCUGGCCCUGCCAAGUCCACCAUCAUCGACAAUUUCAAAAGCCUUGGCGUCAAUGUCCUCAUUGGAGAUUUGUGCGAUCACGAGAGCUUGGUGAAGGCAAUAAAGCAAGUAGAUGUAGUGAUCUCCACAGUAGGUCAAGGUCAAGUACCUGAUCAAGUGAAGAUCAUCGAUGCCAUUAAAGAAGCUGGGAACAUUAAGAGAUUCCUCCCUUCAGAGUUCGGAAAUGAUGUGGAUCAUGUCCACGCUGUUGAGCCAGUAAAAUCAGCAUUUGACGAUAGGGUUAAAAUCCGACGAGCUAUUGAGGCUGAGGGAAUUCCAUACACCUAUGUGGUUUCCAACGUUUUUGCUGGGUAUUUGCUUCCGAGUUUCAACCAGGUUGGAGCGACAGCUCCUCCAAGAGAUAAAGUUGUCAUCUUGGGUGAUGGAAAUCCCAAAGCAAUUUUCAACCAGGAAGAUGACAUAGCCACCUACACUAUCAAAGCUGUGGAAGAUACAAGAACCUUGAAUAAGAUCCUCUAUAUUAGACCCCCAGUCAAUAUCUAUUCAUUUAAUGAUCUUGUGUCCUUGUGGGAGAAGAAGAUCGGCAAAACCAUUGAAAGAAUCUAUGUUCCUGAGGAACAACUUCUCAAGACCAUUCAAGAGGCGGAGUUCCCAUUGAAUGUAAUAUAUGCACUUGGUCACUCAGUGUUUGUGAAGGGAGAUCAGACCAA
rnacentral:misc_RNA from 1 species